rnacentral:piRNA from 1 species
UAGGAAACGUAAACAACAGAAUAUUAUAG